rnacentral:rRNA from 1 species
GGAGGCAGCAGUGGGGAAUAUUGCACAAUGGGCGCAAGCCUGAUGCAGCGACGCCGCGUGCGGGAUGACGGCCUUCGGGUUGUAAACCGCUUUUGACUGGGAGCAAGCCCUUCGGGGUGAGUGUACCUUUCGAAUAAGCACCGGCUAACUACGUGCCAGCAGCCGCGGUAAUACGUAGGGUGCAAGCGUUAUCCGGAAUUAUUGGGCGUAAAGGGCUCGUAGGCGGUUCGUCGCGUCCGGUGUGAAAGUCCAUCGCUUAACGGUGGAUCCGCGCCGGGUACGGGCGGGCUUGAGUGCGGUAGGGGAGACUGGAAUUCCCGGUGUAACGGUGGAAUGUGUAGAUAUCGGGAAGAACACCAAUGGCGAAGGCAGGUCUCUGGGCCGUCACUGACGCUGAGGAGCGAAAGCGUGGGGAGCGAACAGGAUUAGAUACCCUGGUAGUCCACGCCGUAAACGGUGGAUGCUGGAUGUGGGGACCAUUCCACGGUCUCCGUGUCGGAGCCAACGCGUUAAGCAUCCCGCCUGGGGAGUACGGCCGCAAGGCUAAAACUCAAAGAAAUUGACGGGGGCCCGCACAAGCGGCGGAGCAUGCGGAUUAAUUCGAUGCAACGCGAAGAACCUUACCUGGGCUUGACAUGUUCCCGACGGUCGUAGAGAUACGGCUUCCCUUCGGGGCGGGUUCACAGGUGGUGCAUGGUCGUCGUCAGCUCGUGUCGUGAGAUGUUGGGUUAAGUCCCGCAACGAGCGCAACCCUCGCCCUGUGUUGCCAGCACGUCGUGGUGGGAACUCACGGGGGACCGCCGGGGUCAACUCGGAGGAAGGUGGGGAUGACGUCAGAUCAUCAUGCCCCUUACGUCCAGGGCUUCACGCAUGCUACAAUGGCCGGUACAACGGGAUGCGACACCGCGAGGUGGAGCGGAUCCCUUAAAACCGGUCUCAGUUCGGAUUGGAGUCUGCAACCCGACUCCAUGAAGGCGGAGUCGCUAGUAAUCGCGGAUCAGCAACGCCGCGGUGAAUGCGUUCCCGGGCCUUGUACACACCGCCCGUCAAGUCAUGAAAGUGGGUAGCACCCGAAGCCGGUGGCCCAACCUUUUGGGGGGAGCCGUCUAAGGUGAGACUCGUGAUUGGGACUAAGUCGUAACAAGGUAGCCGUACCGGAAGGUGCGGCUG